UAAAAAAAAAAAAAAAAAACUUGGGGAAAAAAGUUACAGUGACCUAAAAUUUUUGAAUUUUUUCAAAUUUUUUUUUUUUUUUUUCAUUGAACACCCUACUCAAUCUGUUUCAAACUGAAAACAACGACAAUGGAAGAUGCAAGCUUCACGAAGAUGCAAUGGGAAUGGAAAGAAGCUUCAAUCAAGGAAAGAUUCUUCAGAGCCAAAUUCCAAUGAAAUUUACUCUACUUUUUUACGUAGAUGGACCCCAAAUUUGGAGUAAAUCAUGGAUCAAAAAUAUAAAAAG
rnacentral:RNase_P_RNA from 12 species